CUUAGCUUGCUAAGGCCGAUGGCGACCGGCGCACGGGUGAGUAACACGUAUCCCACUUGCCGUCUACUCUUGGACAGCCUUCUGAAAGGAAGAUUAAUACAAGAUGGCAUCAUGAGUCCGCAUGUUCACAUGAUUAAAGGUAUUCCGGUAGACGAUGGGGAUGCGUUCCAUUAGAUAGUAGGCGGGGUAACGGCCCACCUAGUCUUCGAUGGAUAGGGGUUCUGAGAGGAAGGUCCCCCACAUUGGAACUGAGACACGGUCCAAACUCCUACGGGAGGCAGCAGUGAGGAAUAUUGGUCAAUGGGCGAGAGCCUGAACCAGCCAAGUAGCGUGCAGGAUGACGGCCCUAUGGGUUGUAAACUGCUUUUAUAAGGGAAUAAAGUGAGUCUCGUGAGACUUUUUGCAUGUACCUUAUGAAUAAGGACCGGCUAAUUCCGUGCCAGCAGCCGCGGUAAUACGGAAGGUCCGGGCGUUAUCCGGAUUUAUUGGGUUUAAAGGGAGCGUAGGCCGGAGAUUAAGCGUGUUGUGAAAUGUAGACGCUCAACGUCUGCACUGCAGCGCGAACUGGUUUCCUUGAGUACGCACAAAGUGGGCGGAAUUCGUGGUGUAGCGGUGAAAUGCUUAGAUAUCACGAAGAACUCCGAUUG
rnacentral:rRNA from 1 species